GCUUAGACUAGUGUCUUCCCUCCUCUCUCUCCGUUUGUAAAACCCUAAAAUCACAUCUAAUCAAUCGAUUCUCCCCUCCUCUCUCUGAAGUUUUCUAUUUGUCUCUUAGUAACAAAUUGAAUCUUCAUUGAUUUCUCUGUAGUUUUGUCCAUUUUCAUUGAAGAUCUAUUCGAUUUUAAUCCAAAUUUUGCUGUUGGUGAUAUUAUAUACUAUUUUGCUGUUGUUGAUAUUGAGGGCAAAGAAGACUGGCGAUUGUCGCAGAAGUCUGUUGAAUGGCAGAUACGCCGCAUCUCCAUUAUAUCUUGGAUUUUUCUCACUUAAACUUAGUACUAGGAGAAGUUGCAGUUGUGUUGAGAAAAAGAAAACAGUGCGUUAACUUCAAUAUUUUUCAAGAAGGAGAACAAUGCUGACUGUGGUGCGGGUUCAUCUCCCGUCUGACAUUCCCAUAGUAGGCUGUGAACUUACCCCCUAUGUUUUGUUGCGUCUUCCUGAUUCAUUACUCAUUUCUGAUGAUAUCCCUGAAUCCGCCCCUGUUUACGGCUGUUUCUUGAGAUAUAAGUGGUACCGAAUACAAAGUGAUAAACAUGUUGCCAUGUGCAGCAUCCAUCCAUCUGAGCAAGCUACACUGCAGUGCCUUGCAUGUGUGAAGGCCAAAAUCCCUGUUGCCAAGAGUUACCAUUGCUCCCCAAAAUGUUUCUCAGAUGCAUGGCAGCAUCAUCGUCUUCUGCAUGAACGUGCUGCUAGUGCUGUGAAUACAAAUGGAAAUGAGGAAAAUACAGGAUCUGGUGUUAAUACAAGCUUGACUUCUUCGCAAUCAAGCGGUAGCUUGACAAAUGGAACAACACCUUUUCCUGUAGUUGUAACUCAAAGAAGUGGUGGUGAAACCUGGUUUGAAGUUGGACACUCUAAAACUUACACCCCAUCUGCAGAUGAUAUUGGUCACACCCUUAAAUUUGAAUGUGCUAUCAUCAAUGCAGUAACAAAAUCAACUGUUGGAAAUGCUAGUACCAUGAUGUCUCGAGUGAUUCCUGCUCCAUCUCCUACUCCACGUCGCUUGAUUUCAGUUAGUGGAGUUGAUAUACCACUACAUCUGGACUUAGAUAGUCGUUUAUCAUCUUCAGGAACUUUUACUGUGCUCUCAUACAACAUUCUGUCUGAUGCAUAUGCAACAAAUGAAUUGUACAGUUAUUGCCCCUCUUGGGCUCUUGCUUGGACUUACCGGAGACAAAAUCUAUUGCGUGAAAUAGCUGGCUACCGUGCAGACAUUGUUUGCCUCCAAGAGGUUCAGAGUGAUCACUUUGAAGAAUUCUUUGCUCCUGAGCUGGACAAACAUGGUUAUCAAGCUUUGUUCAAAAGAAAAACAACUGAGGUGAUCAGUGGGAAUAUAAAUACCGUUGAUGGUUGUGCCACAUUUUUCCGCCGAGAUAGAUUCACACAUGUUAAAAAAUAUGAGGUUGAGUUCAACAAAGCUGCUCAAUCUUUGACUGAAGCCUUAGUUCCCAGCGCCCAAAAGAAGACCGCAUUAAAUCGUUUGCUGAAGGAUAAUAUUGCACUUAUUGUGGUUCUGGAAGCAAAGUUCAAUAGCCAGGGAGUUGACAACACUGGGAAGCGUCAACUUGUUUGUGUGGCUAACACACAUGUAAAUGUUCAUCAAGAGUUAAAGGAUGUCAGACUUUGGCAGGUUCACACACUUUUAAAAGGACUAGAGAAAAUUGCUGCUACUGCUGACAUUCCAAUGCUGCUCUGUGGCGAUUUUAAUUCAGCGCCUGGAAGUGCUCCUCAUGCACUUGUUUCAAUGGGGAAAGUUGAUCCAAUGCAUCCAGAGUUAGCAGUGGACCCUUUUGGUAUUUUGCGUCCAGCCACAAAGUUAACACAUCAUCUGCCAUUGGUAAGUGCUUACACAUCCUUUGCCCGAGUACCUGUGGUUCCUGGACUAGCUCAGAAACGGAGGAAGCUUGAUCCCAGUACGAAUGAACCUUUGUUUACAAGCUGCACCAGAGAUCAUUUUGGGACUCUUGAUUAUAUAUUCUAUUCUGCCGACUCUGUAACAGUUGAAUCGUUGUUAGAGCUCUUGGAUGAGGAAAGCUUGAGAAAAGACACAGCACUUCCUUCUCCAGAGUGGUCCUCUGAUCAUAUAGCACUCUUAGCUGGGUUUCGGUGCAAGCCUAGAACUAGGCGCUGACAAUGGGUAUGCAAUUUGUUUCUGUUGAAUUACAUAUUUCGGUGCAAGCUAGAACUAGGCGCUGACAAUGGGUCUUGCUUGAGGGAUGAAGUUGAAGAUAGAAGCACAAAACAAUCCAAAGGACAAAUAUAAGUCAUUGUAAGAAUAGUAGCUGAUGAUAUGGCCCCCUGCCUUCUUUUUUGGGUGUUCGCGGUGGGAUAGCAGUUGAUCCUUGUAUUAUGCUACCUUAUCAUCACAUAGAAAAGUAUGAUAGUUUUUGAUAGUUUUUUUUAAAAAAAAGUCACUGGAAAUUUGCAUCAAUGUAUGUUCUGUAGAAUAAAAGCUGAGUUAAGAGUAGAGUUUACGGGCAGAGGAAGAAAACUGGAUUUAAUUUCCCCAUGACUUUUGCUGGUUUGGUCGAUAGUUGAUUUUUUUACCAUGAAGGUUAAUUGGAAAUUGUGGUCGCUGA